UACGUAGGGAGCGAGCGUUGUCCGGAUUCAUUGGGCGUAAAGAGCUCGUAGGCGGCUUGGCAAGUCGGGUGUGAAAACUCCAGGCUCAACCUGGAGACGCCACCCGAUACUGCCAUGGCUAGAGUCCGGUAGGGGACCACGGAAUUCCUGGUGUAGCGGUGAAAUGCGCAGAUAUCAGGAGGAACACCGGUGGCGAAGGCGGUGGUCUGGGCCGGAACUGACGCUGAGGAGCGAAAGCGUGGGGAGCGAACAGG
rnacentral:rRNA from 1 species